GACGAACGCUGGCGGCGUGCUUAACACAUGCAAGUCGAACGGAAAGGCCCUGCUUUUGUGGGGUGCUCGAGUGGCGAACGGGUGAGUAACACGUGAGUAACCUGCCCUUGACUUUGGGAUAACUUCAGGAAACUGGGGCUAAUACCGGAUAGGAGCUCCUGCUGCAGGGGGGGGGUUGGAAAGUUCCGGCGGUGGGGGAUGGACGCGCGGCUUACCAGCUGGUUGGUGGGGUAGUGGCUGACCAAGGCUUUGACGGAUAGCCGGCCUGAGAGGGUGACCGGGCACAUGGGGACUGAGAGACGGCGCAGACUGCUACGGGAGGCAGCAGUGGGGAAUAUUGCACAAUGGGGGGAAGCGUGAUGCAGCAGCGCCGCGGGCGGGAUGACGGCCUUCGGGUUGAAAACCGCUUUCGCCUGAGACGAAGCGUGAGUGACGGUACUGGGUAAAGAAGCACCGGCUAACUACGUG
rnacentral:rRNA from 1 species